UGGGGAAUUUUGCACAAUGGGGGAAACCCUGAUGCAGCGACGCCGCGUGAUUUAGAAGGCCUUCGGGUUGUAAAAAUCUUUUCUAUGGGAAGAAAAUGACAGUACCAUAGGAAUAAGGACCGGCUAAUUACGUGCCAGCAGCCGCGGUAAUACGUAAGGUCCGAGCGUUGUCCGGAAUCAUUGGGCGUAAAGGGUACGUAGGCGGGUAAGCAAGUUAGAAGUGAAAUCCUAUAGCUCAACUAUAGUAAGCUUUUAAAACUGCUCAUCUUGAGGUAUGGAAGGGAAAGUGGAAUUCCUAGUGUAGCGGUGAAAUGCGCAGAUAUUAGGAGGAAUACCGGUGGCGAGGGCGACUUUCUGGCCAUAACCUGACGCUGAUGUACGAAAGCGUGGGUAGCAAACAGG
rnacentral:rRNA from 1 species